UCCUACGGGAGGCAGCAGUGGGGAAUAUUGCACAAUGGGCGCAAGCCUGAUGCAGCAACGCCGCGUGAGGGACGAAGGCCUUCGGGUUGUAAACCUCUUUUAGUAGGGAAGAAGCGACUGGGUUUUCCUGGGAGUGACGGUACCUGCAGAAAAAGCACCGGCUAACUACGUGCCAGCAGCCGCGGUAAUACGUAGGGUGCAAGCGUUGUCCGGAAUUAUUGGGCGUAAAGAGCUCGUAGGCGGUUUGUCGCGUCUGCUGUGAAAACCCGAGGCUCAACCUCGGGCCUGCAGUGGGUACGGGCAGACUAGAGUGCGGUAGGGGAGAUUGGAAUUCCUGGUGUAGCGGUGGAAUGCGCAGAUAUCAGGAGGAACACCAAUGGCGAAGGCAGAUCUCUGGGCCGUAACUGACGCUGAGGAGCGAAAGCAUGGGGAGCGAACAGGAUUAGAUACCCUGGUAGUCCAUGCCGUAAACGUUGGGAACUAGAUGUGGGGACCAUUCCACGGUCUCCGUGUCGCAGCUAACGCAUUAAGUUCCCCGCCUGGGGAGUACGGCCGCAAGGCUAAAACUCAAAGGAAUUGACGGGGGCCCGCACAAGCGGCGGAGCAUGCGGAUUAAUUCGAUGCAACGCGAAGAACCUUACCAAGGCUUGACGUAUACCGGAAACGGCUGGAAACAGUCGCCCCGCAAGGUCGGUAUACAGGUGGUGCAUGGUUGUCGUCAGCUCGUGUCGUGAGAUGUUGGGUUAAGUCCCGCAACGAGCGGAACCCUCGUCCUAUGUUGCCAGCACGUAAUGGUGGGAACUCAUGGGAUACUGCCGGGGUCAACUCGGAGGAAGGUGGGGAUGACGUCAAAUCAUCAUGCCCCUUAUGUCUUGGGCUUCACGCAUGCUACAAUGGCCGGUACAAAGGGCUGCGAUACCGCAAGGUGGAGCGAAUCCCAAAAAGCCGGUCUCAGUUCGGAUUGAGGUCUGCAACUCGACCUCAUGAAGUCGGAGUCGCUAGUAAUCGCAGAUCAGCAACGCUGCGGUGAAUACGUUCCCGGGCCUUGUACACACCGCC
rnacentral:rRNA from 1 species